rnacentral:rRNA from 1 species
GUGGCGCACGGGUGCGUAACGCGUGGGAAUGUACAUCUGGGUAAGGAAUAACUGCUGGAAACGGUAGCUAAUACCUUAUAAUGACUCCGGUCCAAAGAUUUAUCGCCCAGGAAUCAGCCCGCGUUAGAUUAGCUUGUUGGCGGGGUAACGGCUCACCAAGGCGACGAUCUAUAGCUGGUCUGAGAGGAUGAUCAGCCACACUGGUACUGAGACACGGACCAGACUCCUACGGGAGGCAGCAGUGAGGAAUAUUGGACAAUGGGGGCAACCCUGAUCCAGCCAUGCCGCGUGAGUGAAGAAGGCCUUAGGGUUGUAAAGCUCUUUCAAUGGUGAAGAUAAUGACGGUAGCCAUACAAGAAGCUCCGGCUAAAUUCGUGCCAGCAGCCGCGGUAAUACGAAUGGAGCAAGCGUUGUUCGGAAUAACUGGGCUUAAAGCGUAUGUAGGCGGACCAGAAAGUCAGAAGUGAAAUCCCGGGGCUUAACCCCGGAACUGCUUUUGAAACUCCUGGUCUCGAAUCCUGGAGAGGUUGGGAGAAUUCCUAGUGUAGAGGUGAAAUUCGCAGAUAUUAGGAGGAAUACCAGUGGCGCAGGCGCCCAACUGGACAGGUAUUGACGCUCAGAUACGAAAGCGUGGGGAGCAAACAGGAUUAGAUACCCUGGUAGUCCACGCCGUAAACGAUGUGUGCCAGUUGUCGGAUGUUCGGCAUUCGGUGACGGAGCGAAAGUUUUAAGCACACGCCUGGGGAGUACGCCGCAGUA